AGUGAACGCUGGCGGUAGGCCUAACACAUGCAAGUCGAACGGCAGCACAGUAAGAGCUUGCUCUUACGGGUGGCGAGUGGCGGACGGGUGAGGUAUACAUCGGAAUCUACUUUUUCGUGGGGGAUAACGUAGGGAAACUUACGCUAAUACCGCAUACGACCUACGGGUGAAAGCAGGUGAUCUUCGGACCUUGCGCGAUUGUAUGAGCCGAUGUCGGAUUAGCUAGUUGGCGGGGUAAAGGCCCACCAAGGCGACGAUCCGUAGCUGGUCUGAGAGGAUGAUCAGCCACACUGGAACUGAGACACGGUCCAGACUCCUACGGGAGGCAGCAGUGGGGAAUAUUGGACAAUGGGCGCAAGCCUGAUCCAGCCAUACCGCGUGGGUGAAGAAGGCCUUCGGGUUGUAAAGCCCUUUUGUUGGGAAAGAAGAGCAGCAGGUUAAUACCCCGCUGUUCUGACGGUACCCAAAGAAUAAGCACCGGCUAACUUCGUG
rnacentral:rRNA from 1 species